GUUCCAAGAUUCAAGAUGGACAAACGUGACUCUCUCCGUCUUCGAGUGAACAUAAUACCAAUUUUGACGCAGAUACACCUCCAAAGAAACGAUUUAAGGGAUCCAGAUUGGAUUAAUGGUGUCCCAAAAAUGUUGGAGGUGCUUGAAAGGGGUGGUUCGGGAGGUGAUUUGAAACAACUUUUUCCUUUGCAAAAA